ACCUAGCGGCGGACGGGUGAGUAAUGCUUAGGAAUCUGCCUAUUAGUGGGGGACAACAUUCCGAAAGGAAUGCUAAUACCGCAUACGCCCUACGGGGGAAAGCAGGGGAUCUUCGGACCUUGCGCUAAUAGAUGAGCCUAAGUCAGAUUAGCUAGUUGGUGGGGUAAAGGCCUACCAAGGCGACGAUCUGUAGCGGGUCUGAGAGGAUGAUCCGCCACACUGGGACUGAGACACGGCCCAGACUCCUACGGGAGGCAGCAGUGGGGAAUAUUGGACAAUGGGCGAAAGCCUGAUCCAGCCAUGCCGCGUGUGUGAAGAAGGCCUUUUGGUUGUAAAGCACUUUAAGCGAGGAGGAGGCUACUUGGAUUAAUACUCUAGGAUAGUGGACGUUACUCGCAGAAUAAGCACCGGCUAACUCUGUGCCAGCAGCCGCGGUAAUACAGAGGGUGCGAGCGUUAAUCGGAUUUACUGGGCGUAAAGCGUGCGUAGGCGGCUUUUUAAGUCGGAUGUGAAAUCCCUGAGCUUAACUUAGGAAUUGCAUUCGAUACUGGGAAGCUAGAGUAUGGGAGAGGAUGGUAGAAUUCCAGGUGUAGCGGUGAAAUGCGUAGAGAUCUGGAGGAAUACCGAUGGCGAAGGCAGCCAUCUGGCCUAAUACUGACGCUGAGGUACGAAAGCAUGGGGAGCAAACAGGAUUAGAUACCCUGGUAGUCCAUGCCGUAAACGAUGUCUACUAGCCGUUGGGGCCUUU
rnacentral:rRNA from 1 species